UCUUGGUCAAUUUAGAGGAAGUAAAAGUCGUAACAAGGUCUCCGUAGGUGAACCUGCGGAGGGAUCAUUACCCAAAUAUGAAACGCAGACUGGGCACCCUCGAGGAGCGAUUCGUCGUCCCCCUCCUGGGCCGGUCUGACGCCAUAUUCACCCAUGUCUUUUGCGUACUACUUGUUUCCUUGGCGGGUUCGCCCGCCAUUAGGACCCAACCAUAAACCUUUUUGUAAUUGCAAUCAGCGUCUGAACAAUGUAAUAAAUUACAACUUUCAACAACGGAUCUCUUGGUUCUGGCAUCGAUGAAGAACGCAGCGAAAUGCGAUAAGUAGUGUGAAUUGCAGAAUUCAGUGAAUCAUCGAAUCUUUGAACGCACAUUGCGCCCUUUGGUAUUCCAAAGGGCAUGCCUGUUCGAGCGUCAUUUGUACCCUCAAGCUUUGCUUGGUGUUGGGCGUUUUUGUCUUGGGUCCGCCCCGAGACUCGCCUUAAAAUCAUUGGCAGCCGGCCUACUGGUUUCGGAGCGCAGCACAUUUUUUGCGCUUUGGUCUAGUGGUCCAGCGUCCAUGAAGCGAAUAUUUUCAAUUGACCUCGGAUCAGGUUAGGGGG
rnacentral:rRNA from 1 species